CUAACACAAUUCUUGAGUGCAAACUGGUACAAGACACAAUAACAGUUAGUGUGAAUUUUCUUGGAUUUAUGCAAUGUAUCUUUGCCUAAAUGUCAUCUACCAAUAGGAUUAGCAUUUUAAUAAUCCUAUGGGCCAAGUGGUCUGCAAAUGUUUGGAGAGUAAGCAUUGACAGCUGUAGAAUAUCUAUAUUCUGCAAAACAUCUAAUGUUUUAGGUUGGAAAAUAGAGCAUGAAGAAAAAUAUUUACUUUCUUUUAUUUCUUAAACAUUUUAAUACGACUAAUGUUAUACAGAAAACAAAAACUGUAACACCUACAUGAACUACUUCCAGACAAAGGGAUACAACUUCUAAAACAGUGAGUUUAUAGUUCAAUGUAAAUGUAAGAUGUCAUUUAAGAACAAUAAGGCAGAUGCCUACGACAAAUUAGGAAAUUGGCACAGACUU